rnacentral:rRNA from 1 species
GACGAACGCUGGCGGCGUGCUUAACACAUGCAAGUCGAGCGGAAAGGCCCCUUCGGGGGUACUCGAGCGGCGAACGGGUGAGUAACACGUGAGCAACCUGCCCCUGACUCUGGGAUAAGCCUGGGAAACUGGGUCUAAUACCGGAUACGACCCGCCAUCGCAUGGUGUGCGGGUGGAAAGAUUUCAUCGGUUGGGGAUGGGCUCGCGGCCUAUCAGCUUGUUGGUGGGGUGAUGGCCUACCAAGGCGACGACGGGUAGCCGGCCUGAGAGGGCGACCGGUCACACUGGGACUGAGACACGGCCCAGACUCCUACGGGAGGCAGCAGUGGGGAAUAUUGCGCAAUGGGCGGAAGCCUGACGCAGCGACGCCGCGUGGGGGAUGACGGCCUUCGGGUUGUAAACCCCUUUCAGCAUCGACGAAGCUUCAUCCUUGCAGGGUGGGGUGACGGUAGGUGCAGAAGAAGCGCCGGCUAACUAC